CCUACGGGAGGCAGCAGUGGGGAAUAUUGCGCAAUGGGCGAAAGCCUGACGCAGCGACGCCGCGUGAGGGAUGAAGGUCUUCGGAACGUAAACCUCUGUCAGCAGGGAAGAACGGUCACUGUGCUAAUCAGCAGUGAAUUGACGGGACCUGCAAAGGAAGCACCGGCUAACGCCGUGCCAGCAGCCGGGGUAAUCCGGAGGGUGCGAGCGUUAAUCGGGAGUACGGGGCGUAAAGGGCUCGUAGGCGGUAUGUCAAGUCAAGGGUUAAAUCACCGCGUUCAACGUGGGAACUGCCUUUGAUACUGGCAAGCUGGAGUGUGUCAGAGUAUAGUGGAAUUCCAGGUGUAGGUGUGAAAUCCGUAG
rnacentral:rRNA from 1 species